rnacentral:rRNA from 1 species
UACGUAGGGAGCAAGCGUUGUCCGGAAUCAUUGGGCGUAAAGCGCGCGUAGGUGGCCUCAUAAGUCCGCUGUGAAAGUCAAAGGCUCAACCUUUGAAAGCCGGUGGAUACUGUGAGGCUAGAGUACGGAAGAGGCGAGUGGAAUUCCUGGUGUAGCGGUGGAAUGCGCAGAUAUCAGGAGGAACACCAAUAGCGAAGGCAGCUCGUUGGGACGUUACUGACACUGAGGCGCGAAAGCGUGGGGAGCGAACAGG